rnacentral:rRNA from 1 species
GAUGAACGCUGACGGCAUGCUUAACACAUGCAAGUCUACCUGAACUUCGGUUUGGGUGGCGGACGGGUGAGUAACGCGUAAAGAACUUGCCUCACAGUUAGGGACAACAUUUGGAAACGAAUGCUAAUACCUGAUAUUAUGAUUUUAGGGCAUCCUAGGAUUAUGAAAGCUAUAUGUGCUGUGAGAGAGCUUUGCGUCCCAUUAGCUAGUUGGAGAGGUAACGGCUCACAAAGGCGAUGAUGGGUAGCCGCCCUGGGAGGGUGAACGGCCACAAGGGGACUGGGAAACGGCCCGUACGCAUACGGGGGGAAGCGGUGGGGAAUAUGGGACAAUGGACCAAAAGUGUGAUCCAGCAAUUCUGUGUGGAAGGUGACGUUUUUCGGAAUGUAAAGUGCUUUCAGUUGGCAAGGAAAAAAUGACGGUACCAACAGAAGAAGCGACGGCUAACUACGUG